CAGCGCCUCUUCCUCCGCCCACUCAGCUAGUUAGCUGCGACGUGGCAGCCGAGUGAGGGCCUCAGGGUGACGC
rnacentral:pre_miRNA from 2 species